rnacentral:lncRNA from 1 species
CAUAGGAAAACAGAACGACCGUUUAUUUAGAGCUUACUAUAACAAGAGAGUUAGCCAGCAUCAACUGCAUUUUGGCAGAGACUCAAAGACAGGCAAUGGAGUGGAAGAGCUUCAUAGUGGCAAGAAGUGAAGGCAUCAGAGAGUCAGUGAGUAUGCAAUCUACCUAUGUAGAUCUGGGAACACCACUCCUCAGCCAAGACACUGACUAUAACGUGGGAGGAUGACCUUUCAGAAAGGUAAGCAUCAUAGCAUUGACAGAGUUGUUCCAGAGGCUCUGCAGAGGACAGGCCACCC